ACGCACCUUGCGCCCCUUGGAAUUCCGAAGGGCACACCCGUUUGAGUGUCGUGAACAUCCUUCAACCUUUCUCGGUUUCUUGACCGGGGAAGGCUUGGACGUUGGGGGGUCUUUCAUUGCUGGCCUCUUCGAAGCCAGCUCCUCCUAAUGGAUUAGUGUGGUCUGCUUUGUGGAUCCUUGACGCGAUAAGAUGUUUCUACGUCUUGGGUUUCGCACUGUAGCUUCGGACCCCGCCUCUAACCGUCUUGCAUUCAAGACAGAGUCUUGAACCUUGACCUCAAUCGGGUGAGACUACCCGCUGAACUUA
rnacentral:rRNA from 1 species